rnacentral:rRNA from 1 species
AGAACGAACGCUGGCGGCAUGCCUAACACAUGCAAGUCGAACGAGACCUUCGGGUCUAGUGGCGCACGGGUGCGUAACGCGUGGGAAUCUGCCCUAGGGUACGGAAUAACAGUGAGAAAUUACUGCUAAUACCGUAUGAUGACGUAAGUCCAAAGAUUUAUCGCCCUGGGAUGAGCCCGCGUAGGAUUAGCCUGUUGGUGAGGUAAAGGCUCACCAAGGCGACGAUCCUUAGCUGGUCUGAGAGGAUGAUCAGCCACACUGGGACUGAGACACGGCCCAGACUCCUACGGGAGGCAGCAGUGGGGAAUAUUGGACAAUGGGCGAAAGCCUGAUCCAGCAAUGCCGCGUGAGUGAUGAAGGCCCUAGGGUUGUAAAGCUCUUUUACCCGGGAUGAUAAUGACAGUACCGGGAGAAUAAGCCCCGGCUAACUCGUGCCAGCAGCCGC